rnacentral:rRNA from 1 species
GGACUACUCGGGUAUCUAAUCCUGUUUGAUCCCCACGCUUUCGGGUUUGAGUGUCAAUGUUUGGCCAGUUACCCGCCUUCGCCACCGGUGUUCCACCUGAUAUCUACGUAUUUCACCACUACACCAGGUAUUCCAGUAACCUCUCCAACAUUCAAGCUUUGCAGUAUCAAAUGCACUUCCUGGGUUAAGCCCAGGGCUUUCACAUCUGACUUAUAAAGCCACCUACACCCGCUUUACGCCCAAUGAUUCCGAACAACGCUAGGGUCCCUCGUCUUACCGCGGCGGCUGGCAC